rnacentral:rRNA from 1 species
UACGUAGGGGGCUAGCGUUGUCCGGAUUUAUUGGGCGUAAAGAGCGUGUAGGCGGCCAGGUAGGUCUGCUGUGAAAACUCGAGGCUCAACCUCGAGACGUCGGCGGAAACCAUCUGGCUAGAGUCCGGAAGAGGAGAGUGGAAUUCCCAGUGUAGCGGUGAAAUGCGUAGAUAUUGGGAGGAACACCAGUGGCGAAGGCGGCUCACUGGACCGGUAUUGACGCUGAGGCGCGAAAGCCAGGGGAGCAAACGGG